AUUUAACUUGGUAAUGGACAGGUUACUUAGAACCUUACCCAGCGAAAUUGGUGCCAAAGUCGGAAAUGCCAUUACUAACGCGGCCGCGUUUGCAGAUGAUUUGGUACUAUUUGCGGAAACUCGGAUGGGGCUUCAAGUAUUGUUGGACAAGACGUUGGAUUUUCUAUCUAUCGUCGGCCUCAAACUUAAUGCCGACAAAUGUUUUACCGUUGGCAUUAAGGGCCAGCCGAAACAGAAGUGUACCGUGUUAGAGGCACAGAGCUUCUACGUAGGCUCGAGUGAGAUUCCAUCACUGAAGCGCACGGACGAGUGGAAGUACUUAGGCAUCAACUUCACUGCAACCGGGAGGGUUCGAUGCAAUCCGGCCGAGGACAUUGGUCCAAAGCUACAAAGAUUGACAAAGGCCCCCCUCAAACCACAACAGAGGUUGUUCGCCCUUCGGACUGUCCUUAUCCCACAGCUCUACCACAAGUUAGCCCUUGGGAGUGUGGCGAUAGGCGUCCUAAGAAAAACUGAUAAACUUAUAAGAUAUUAUGUGCGAAGAUGGCUAAAUCUUCCGCUGGAUGUGCCGAUAGCAUUUGUUCAUGCACCCCCAAAAAGUGGAGGUCUCGGAAUUCCAUCACUAAGAUGGGUAGCUCCAAUGUUAAGGCUAAGACGCUUGAGUAACAUUAAAUGGCCUCACCUCACGCAAAACGAGGUAGCCAGCUCUUUCCUCGAAGCCGAAAAACAACGGGCCCGAGAUAGAUUAUUAGCUGAACAAAAUGAACUGUUAUCGCGUCCGGCAAUAGAAAAAUAUUGGGCGAACAAGUUGUACCUCUCAGUUGAUGGUAGCGGACUCCGUGAAGCGGGCCAUUAUGGCCCGCAACACGGGUGGGUUAGUCAACCCACGCGUUUAUUAACAGGAAAGGAAUAUAUAGACGGUAUUCGUCUGCGGAUAAAUGCCCUACCCACAAAGUCUCGUACUACAAGGGGAAGGCACGAAUUGGAACGACAGUGUCGUGCAGGAUGUGAUGCUCCCGAAACAACAAACCACAUAAUGCAAAAAUGCUACCGCUCGCAUGGGAGGCGGGUAGCUAGACACAACUGCGUAGUAAAUCGAAUCAAGCGGGGACUUGAGGAGAGAGGCUGCGUGGUCAUUGUUGAACCAAGUCUGCAGUGCGAAUCCGGCCUUAAUAAACCAGACCUGGUGGCACUACGACAAAAUCACAUUGAUGUGAUCGACAUACAAAUUGUGACAGACGGACACUCUAUGGAUGAUGCGCACCAGCGCAAAAUCAAUAGAUACGACAGACCGGACAUACGAACUGAAUUGCGUCGCAGAUUCGAAGCCGCAGGUGACAUUGAAUUCCAUUCUGCCACCCUGAACUGGAGGGGGAUCUGGAGUGGUCAAUCCGUUAAAAGAUUGAUAGCAAAGGGUCUCCUCAGCAAAUAUGAUAGUCAUAUCAUUAGCGUCCAGGUUAUGAGAGGCAGUCUCGGUUGUUUUAAACAGUUCAUGUACCUGAGCGGGUUUUCCCGAGAUUGGACUUAGCUAAAUCGUUUGGUUCAAAACAUUUGCUUGCUGUCUUGGCAUAACAUCAAUAAAGGCAUAAACAUCGCAAAAUAAUGGUUAUAAUUAAAUGGCUAUGAGGAUGGUUUUAGUACGUAGGCGUUGCGGAACUUCGGUUCAUAUAGAGCAAUGAAUCGUGCAUGCUAGGAAAACUGACCACACACAGUGUUGGCAGACCUAGUAUCUUUCGAAGAUUUCCAUACCUCCGCGAUCAAAAAAAAAAAAAAAAAAAAAUAGCCAAAUGCCUCGUCAUCUAAUUAGUGACGCGCAUGAAUGGAUUAACGAGAUUCCUACUGUCCCUAUCUACUAUCUAGCGAAACCACAGCCAAGGGAACGGGCUUGGAAUAAUUAGCGGGGAAAGAAGACCCUUUUGAGCUUGACUCUAAUCUGGCAGUGUAAGGAGACAUAAGAGGUGUAGAAUAAGUGGGAGAUAUUAGACCUCGGUUUGGUAUCGUCAAUGAAAUACCACUACUCUUAUUGUUUCCUUACUUACUUGAUUAAAUGGAACGUGUAUCAUUUCCUAGCCAUUAUACGGAUAUAUUUAUUAUAUCUUAUGGUAUUGGGUUUUGAUGCAAGCUUCUUGAUCAAAGUAUCACGAGUUUGUUAUAUAAUCGCAAACAAAUUCUUUAAUAAAACGAUGCAUUUAUGUAUUUUUGAUUUGAAAAUUUGGUAUAACUCCAAUUACUCAGGUAUGAUCCAAUUCAAGGACAUUGCCAGGUAGGGAGUUUGACUGGGGCGGUACAUCUCUCAAAUAAUAACGGAGGUGUCCCAAGGCCAGCUCAGUGCGGACAGAAACCACACAUAGAGCAAAAGGGCAAAUGCUGACUUGAUCUCGGUGUUCAGUACACACAGGGACAGCAAAAGCUCGGCCUAUCGAUCCUUUUGGUUUAAAGAGUUUUUAACAAGAGGUGUCAGAAAAGUUACCAUAGGGAUAACUGGCUUGUGGCGGCCAAGCGUUCAUAGCGACGUCGCUUUUUGAUCCUUCGAUGUCGGCUCUUCCUAUCAUUGUGAAGCAAAAUUCACCAAGCGUUGGAUUGUUCACCCAUGCAAGGGAACGUGAGCUGGGUUUAGACCGUCGUGAGACAGGUUAGUUUUACCCUACUAAUGACAAAACGUUGUUGCGACAGCAUUCCUGCGUAGUACGAGAGGAACCGCAGGUACGGACCAAUGGCACAAUACUUGUUCGAGCGAACAGUGGUAUGACGCUACGUCCGUUGGAUUAUGCCUGAACGCCUCUAAGGUCGUAUCCGUGCUGGACUGCAAUGAUAAAUAAGGGGCAAUUUGCAUUGUAUGGCUUCUAAACCAUUUAAAGUUUAUAAUUUACUUUAUAAACGACAAUGGAUGUGAUGCCAAUGUAAUUUGUAACAUAGUAAAUUGGGAGGAUCUUCGAUCACCUGAUGCCGCGCUAGUUACAUAUAAAAGCAUUAUUU
rnacentral:rRNA from 1 species